ensembl:lncRNA
AUUAGGAGAAAGCUGUUAGUUUACAGCAAAAUGUGUUUUAAUGUGGCUUUUGGGGACCAAAACUAAAAACUGGCAGCAUUUAUUUGCAUUUUUACCCCCUCCUCCCAUUAGUCAAAUAAUCAAGUUGCAAGAUGCAGUAAUGACCAACAUGCACGACUCUCUUUGUUCAACUAAUUGGAAACGUCUGCAGGUCAGCGCUGCAGUAAUUCCCUGCAAUUUCCAGAGACAUGUCAGGGAACAGAAAAGCCGGCCUCUUCUCGACCUUCCGCGCCAUUUGAAUUAAAAUGUGUGGCAUUGUUCUGCAGCUCGCGGUCAUGACACCUCAGAAGAAAAACAACACCAUUAUACUGUUCAUUAUUAAGGACCACGCAAGACAAAACAACAACAACAGCAUCAACAGCACCGGGGCUGAUGAAAUUUCUCCACGGAUAUCAGACAGGCUGAGCGUGCCAAGACGGGUUUUGAUUUUAUUAUUUCUUUUUUUCUUCCUUUCCUUUCCUUUUUUUUUUAACAACAGCACAUAGUCUAGUUUUUGAGGAAGCCUAUUACUGUCCUCCCACACACACCCAUCAGUAGCAGGCGCACCACGACCUCAAUAACCCUCCACACACAUAUAGAGGCUGGCAGAGUCCAUUUAAGACUCUGUAAAUGCACCAGAGCACUACUGCCAUCAAGUGGCUGCUUUAGCACACAAACGCUGAGCACCAGUGCAGAAAUACCUCAGUGUGAAUGCUGCACACUUGCACAGAUGAACUAUGAAACAUUAAAGUAUUUAAAUCAAUCACAACACCCCUCAUUUCAAUAGAAAAAUAGUCAUAUAGAUUACACUGGAAUCAUGUGGCCUUUUACCUUUGGGGUACUUUUUACUGGAGUAGAUUUCUGAAUAAACGUUUCUACUUUUACUUACGUGAAACCUACUGCAAUAAAAAUUGCACUAAUUUUAGCCACAUUAAGGCAUGCUCCUUAGAGGAAUGUUUGGUUUUUCAGGUGAUGUGGUCUUUCUGGCUUCAUCAAAAUGUAGAUCAUCUCUAACUCACUCAGGGCGUCAGGUCAGCAGCAGAUGUUGAGGUGAUGGUUUUCAGCCGGAUUGAGUGUGGCGUAUCCACUCUAGGUUGGGAUUAGUUGCUUUCGCAAGACAAGGAGUUUUUGUAUCGUUGGGUCUUGUUCAUGAGCAAAGGGGAGGUGUAAGCUUUGAUUUACUGGUGGAGUUAUAGUGCUGUGCAAAAGUCUUGAGCCACCCCUCAUUUCUUUAUACUCUGACUUUCCUGUCAUUGUUUUUU